rnacentral:rRNA from 1 species
GACGAACGCUGGCGGCGUGCUUAACACAUGCAAGUCGAACGGAAAGGCCCUGCUUUUGUGGGGUGCUCGAGUGGCGAACGGGUGAGUAACACGUGAGUAACCUGCCCUUGACUUUGGGAUAACUUCAGGAAACUGGGGCUAAUACCGGAUAGGAGCUCCUGCUGCAUGGUGGGGGUUGGAAAGUUUCGGCGGUUGGGGAUGGACUCGCGGCUUAUCAGCUUGUUGGUGGGGUAGUGGCUUACCAAGGCUUUGACGGGUAGCCGGCCUGAGAGGGUGACCGGCCACAUUGGGACUGAGAUACGGCCCAGACGGCUACGGGGGGCAGCAGUGGAGAAUAUUGCACAAUGGGCGGAAGCCUGAUGCAGCAGCGCCGCGUGCGGGAUGACGGCCUUCGGGUGGUAAACCGCUUUCGCCUGUGACGAAGCGUGAGUGACGGUAAUGGGUAAAGAAGCACCGGCUAACUACGUG